rnacentral:pre_miRNA from 1 species
CCGAACCACCAACUAUUCUGGUUGGCCAACUGGCCGGUCAGUUGGCCNNGGCCAACUGACCGGCCAGUUGGCCAACCAGAAUAGUUGGUGGUUCGGCCGGAAC